AGGACGAACGCUGGCGGCGUGCUUAACACAUGCAAGUCGAGCGGUGAUCCUCCUUCGGGAGGUGAUCAGCGGCGAACGGGUGAGUAACACGUGGGCAACCUGCCCCUCACACUGGGAUAACCUCGGGAAACCGGGGCUAAUACCGGAUACGACCUCGAGCGGCAUCUCUUGAGGUGGAAAGCUCCGACGGUGAGGGAUGGGCCCGCGGCCUAUCAGCUUGUUGGUGGGGUAAUGGCCUACCAAGGCGACGACGGGUAGCCGGCCUGAGAGGGCGACCGGCCACGACUGGGACUGAGACACGGCCCAGACUCCUACGGGAGGCAGCAGUGGGGAAUUUUGCGCAAUGGGGGAAACCCUGACGCAGCAACGCCGCGUGGAGGAUGAAGCCCCUUGGGGUGUAAACUCCUUUCGAUCGGGAAGAUAAUGACGGUACCGAUAUAAGAAGCCCGGCUAACUUCGUGCCAGCAGCCGC
rnacentral:rRNA from 1 species